rnacentral:lncRNA from 1 species
UUCCAUAUUUCUAGUUUUUAGAUAGUCAAGUAGAUUCUCUUUCAUAAGUAUUUCUGUUAAUCUUAUUUCCUCCAUAUUUUUUCUCCAAUAUUCUAAGUAUUCGUAGUUUAUCAUUUUAUCCUAAAGUAGUUGUAAUACUACAAAUUUCUUUGUAAUAAUUUAUUCUAAUUGUACUAUAUCUGAUAUUAAAUUCUAGGUUAGCUAUUUCGUUAAUUAUCCUGUCUUUUUCUUCUAUGAAUAAUUCUAUGUCUAAAUCAUAUUCUAAACU